rnacentral:rRNA from 1 species
GACGAACGCUGGCGGCGCGCUUAACACAUGCCAGUCGAACGGAAAGGCCUGCUUUCCCUUGUGGAUUGCGGGUACUCGAGUGGCGAACGGGUGAGUAACACGUGAGUGAUCUGCCCCCAACUUGGGUAUAAGCCUGGGAAACUGGGUCUAAUUCCCGAUAGGACUGCAGGGUGGUGCCUGUGGUGGAAAACGAUUUUCUAGUGGUUGGGGAUGAGCUCGCGGCCUAUCAGCUUGUUGGUGGGGUAAUGGCCUACCAAGGCGGCGACGGGUAGCCGGCCUGGGAGGGUGGACGGCCACAUUGGGACUGAGAUACGGCCCAGACUCCUUCGGGAGGCAGCAGUGGGGAAUAUUGCACAAUGGGCGGAAGCCUGAUGCAGCGACGCCGCGUGGGGGAUGACGGCCUUCGGGUUGUAAACUCCUUUCGACCGCGAGGAAGCCACCUGGUUGGAAGGGUGGUGACGGUAGUGGUAGAAGAAGCACCGGCUAACUACGUG